rnacentral:rRNA from 1 species
CCUACGUGUGGCAGCAGUAGGGAAUUUUCCACAAUGGGCGAAAGCCUGAUGGAGCAACGCCGCGUGGGUGAAGAAGGUCUUCGGAUCGUAAAACCCUGUUGUUAGAGAAGAAAGUGCGUGAGAGUAACUGUUCACGUUUCGACGGUAUCUAACCAGAAAGCCACGGCUAACUACGUGCCAGCAGCCGCGGUAAUACGUAGGUGGCAAGCGUUAUCCGGAUUUAUUGGGCGUAAAGGGAACGCAGGCGGUCUUUUAAGUCUGAUGUGAAAGCCUUCGGCUUAACCGGAGUAGUGCAUUGGAAACUGGGAGACUUGAGUGCAGAAGAGGAGAGUGGAACUCCAUGUGUAGCGGUGAAAUGCGUAGAUAUAAGGAAGAACACCAGUGGCGAAGGCGGAUGACUGGACGGCAACUGACGGUGAGGCGCGAAAGCGUGGGGAGCAAACAGGAUUAGAUACCCCGGUAGUC